ensembl:lncRNA
CUCGGAGCCGCCGCCAACCGGAGCCUCUGCGGGCCGAAAGCCAUUGAGAAACCCCCGGAGGGCCCAAAGCCCCAUUGAGAAAACUCUCAUAGACCCAAAAACCCAUUGAGAAAACUCCCGUAGGGCCCAAAACCCAUCGAGAAAACUGCAAUGGACCCAAAACCCGUUGAAAAAAAAAAAAAAACCUUCCACAGACACAAAAGCCGCUGAGAAAACUCCCGCGGGGCCCAAACCCCAUCGGGAAAAUUCCUCUGGACCCAAAACCCAUUGGGAAAACUCUCAUGGACCCAAAACCCAUUGAAAAAAGUCCUAUAGACCCAAAACCCAUUGAGAACCCCCCCCCCCCCCAGGGCCCACACCCCAUUGAGAAAACUCCAAUGGACACAAAAUCCGUGGAGAAAACCCCCAUCGACCCCAAACCCCAUUGAGAAAACUCCCACAGACCCAAAACUCAUUGAAAAAGAAAACUUCUACAGAGCCAAAAUCCACUGAGAAAAAUCCUACAGACCCCAAAAGCCAUUGGGAAAACUCCUACGGACACAAAACCUAUCAAGAAAAUACCCAUACACCCAAAAGUCAUUGAGAAAAACUUCUAUAGACCCAAAUCCUAUUGGGAAAAAUCCUACUGACCCAAAACCCACUGAGAAAUCUCCCACAGAGCCCAAAACCCAUUGGGAAAACUCCUACGGACACAAAACCCAUUAAGAACCCCCCACCCCCACAGGGCCCAAAACCCACUGAGAAAACCUCCAUACACCCAAACCCCAUUGAGAAAACUCCCACGGGGCUCAGACCCCAUUAGGACAUCUUCGAUGGAUACAAAACCCAUUGAGAAAAAUCCCGUACACCCAAACCCCACUGAGAAAACCCCCAUCGACCCCAAACCCCAUUGAGAAAACUCCCACAGACCCAAAACUCAUUGAAAAAGAAAAUUUCUACAGAGCCAAAAUCCACUGAGAAAAAUCCUACAGACCCCAAACCCACUGAGCAAAUUCCCACAGGGCCCAAACCCCAUUGGGAGAACUCCUAUGGACCCAAAACCCAUUGAGAAAACUCCCAUAGACCCAAAUCCUAUUGGGAAAAAUCCUACUGACCCAAAACCCACUGAGAAAACUCCCAUAGACCCAAAACCUAUUGGGAAAAUCCUACUGACCAAAAACCCAUUGAGAAAAUUCCCACAGGGCCCAAAACCCAUUGAGAAAUCUCCCAUACACCCAAACCCCAUUGAGAAAAGUCCCACGGGGCCCAAAUCCCAUUGGGAAAACUCCGAUGGACACAAAACCCAUUGAGAAAACCCUCCUGGACCCGAAACCCAUUGAGAAAACUUCUACAGACCCAAAACCCACUGAGAAAAAUCCUACAGGGAUUAGGGUUAGGGUUAGGGUUAGAGUUAUGGGGUCAGGGUUAGGGUUAGAGUUAUGGGGUCAGGGUUAGGGUUAGAGUUAUGGGGUCAGGGUUAGGGUUAGAGUUAUGGGGUCAGGGUUAGGGUUACUGUUAUGGGGUCAGGGUUAGGGUUAGCAUUCUGGGGUCAGGGUUAGGGUUAGAGUUAUGGGGUCAGGGUUAGGGUUACUGUUAUGGGGUCAGGAUUAGGGUUAGCGUUAUGGGGUCAGGGUUAGGGUUAGAGUUAUGGGGUCAGGGUUAGGGUUAGCAUUCUGGGGUCAGGGUUAGGGUUAGAGUUAUGGGGUCAGGGUUAGGGUUACUGUUAUGGGGUCAGGGUUAGGGUUGGGCUUAGGGUUAGAGUGUUAGGGUCAGGUUUCAGUUUAGGACUGGUGUUGGGUAUAGGGUUUGGGUCCAGGUUGAUUUAUAGGGUCAGAGUUAUGGGGUUAGAGUUAUAGGGUCAGGGAUACGGUUUGGGUUAGAGUUAUAGGGUCAGGACUGGUUGGGGUUAGGGUCUGUGUCAGUGUCAGGUUAGCGUUAGGAUCAUAGGGUUAGGGUUGGGGUUAUAGGGUCAGGGUUAGUGUUAGAGUUUGGGUUAUAGGGUUAGGGUCAGGGUCAGGGCUAGGAUUAGGGUUAUAUGAUCAGGGUUAGGAUUGGGGUUAUAGGUUGAGGGUCAAGGUUAGGGUUAGGGUUAUAGGAUCAAGGUCAGGGUCAAGGUUAGAGUUAUGGGAUCAGGGUUAUAUGGUUAGGGUCAGGGUUAGGGUUAGGAUUAGGACUAGGAUUAGGGUUAGGGUUAUAGGAUCAAGGUCAGAGUUAUAGGGCUAGGGUCAGGAUAAGAAUCAUAGGGUCAGGGUUAGGGUUGGGGUUAGGAUUAUAGGGUCAGGGUCACAGGGUCAGGGUUGGCGCUAUAGGGUCAGGGCUACAGGAUCAGGGUUGGGGUUGUAAGGUCAGGGUUGGGGUCACAGGGUCGUAGUUGAGGUUAUAGGGUCAGGGUUGUAGGGUCAGGGUUGGGACCAUAGGAUCAGGGUUGGGCUUAUAGAGUCAGGGUUACAGGAUCAGGGUUGGGGUCAUAGGGCCAGGGUCAGGGUUAUAGGGUCAGGUUGGGGUUAUAGGGUCAGGGUUACAGGGUCUGGGUUGGGACCAUAGGGUCAGGGUUGGGGUUAUAGGGUCAAGGUUGGGGUCAUAGGGUCAGGGUUGGGAUUGUAGGAUCAGAGUUGGGGUUAUAGGGUCAGGUUUGGGACCAUAGGGUCAGGAUUGGGGUCAUAGAGUCAGGAUUACAGGAUCAGGGUUGGGGUUAUAGGGUCAGGGUUGGGGUUAUAGGGUCAUGGUUGUAGGGUCGGGGUUAUAGGGUCAGGGUUGGGGUUAUAGGGUCAGGGUUGGGGUUGGUGUUAUAGGGUCAGGGUUGUAGGGUCGGGGUUAUAGGGUCAGGGUUGUGGUUAUAGGGUCAGGGUUGUAGGGUCGGGGUCAGUGUCAGCACAGUGUGGGUCCGCUGCCCAUAGCGGUGGCCAUGGGGUCACAUCACCGCUCAGCCCUUACAGUGAGCAGAGCUGCGUUAAUUGUACGGCGUUAAUUGCCGCAUCUCUGUAAUUAGCGCUCAUAAAGAGGCAAUUCAAUCCCAUUAAGGAUUAUUGGCUCAUUAAGAGCCCUCUGUGCACACAGCAGUCCGGGAUGCGCACUGAGGGCACUGCGGGGCAAAUGGGGCCGGGAGGGAAAACCCCAUUUGGGUUUGGGGUGAAUGUGUUGGAAAGGAGAACCCCAUUUGGGUUUGGGGUGAAUGUUUUGGGAGGAGAAAACCCCAUUUGGGUUUGGGAUGAAUACGUUGGGAGGAGAAAAACCCCAUUUGGGUUUGGGGUGAAUGUUCUGAGAGGAGAAAACCCCAUUUGGGUUUGGGGUGAAUGCAUUGGAAUGGCAAAACCUCAUUUGGAUUUGGGGUGAAUGCGUUGGAAUUUGAAAUCCCAUUUGGGUUUGGGGUGAAUGCGUUGGAAAUGGAAAUCCCAUUUGGGUUUGGGGUGAAUGCGUUGGAAAUGGAAAUCCCAUUUGGGUUUGGGGUGAAUGCGUUGGAAAGGAAAACCCCAUUUGGAUUUGGGGUAACUGUGUGGGAAAUCCCAUUUGGGUUUGGGGUGAAUAGAUUGGAAUGGCAAAACCCGCUCUGGAUUUGGGGUGAGGGUGUUGGAAACGGAAAACCCCAUUUGGGUUUGGGGUGAAUGCACUGGAAUGGGAAAAUCCGCUUUGGAUUUGGGAUGAAUACGUUGGGAGGGGAAAACCCCAUUUGGGUUUGGGGUGAAUGUGUUGG